GUGGAAGCGGCUGUGGAGGAGGAGGAGGUAGACAACACUGUUUUUUAUCUAUAUAUAUAUUUUUUUUAAUUGGGGUAUCCCCAAAAAUAUUGGGACAUAUAAAAAAAGACAACUCUGUUCCGCAGAGUAGCUGUUGACAUUAUAGUUGCGCAGGCACUUUGUUGAUUCUAGAGAACCUUGGGCCAAUCGCACAUCCCCGUGACGGCGACUUUGCAUUCGUAUGUCAAUCCAUAUCAACUUUCGAUGCCAUUGACUGUGCCUACCAUGGUGACCACGGGUAAUGGGGAAUCAGGGUUCCAUUCCAUACAGGGACCCUGACAACUGGCUACCACAUGCAAGGAAGGCAGCAGGCGCGCAAAUGACCCACUCCCGACGCGGGAAGGUAGUAAC